AUUGCCAAGUCGAACGAAGGCUUCGGCCUUAGUGGCGCACGGGUGCGUAACGCGUGGGAAUCUGCCCCUUGGUUCGGAAUAACAGUUGGAAACGACUGCUAAUACCGGAUGAUGACGUAAGUCCAAAGAUUUAUCGCCGAGGGAUGAGCCCGCGUAGGAUUAGGUAGUUGGUGUGGUAAAGGCGCACCAAGCCGACGAUCCUUAGCUGGUCUGAGAGGAUGAUCAGCCACACUGGGACUGAGACACGGCCCAGACUCCUACGGGAGGCAGCAGUGGGGAAUAUUGGACAAUGGGCGAAAGCCUGAUCCAGCAAUGCCGCGUGAGUGAUGAAGGCCUUAGGGUUGUAAAGCUCUUUUACCCGGGAUGAUAAUGACAGUACCGGGAGAAUAAGCUCCGGCUAACUCCGUGCCAGCCGCCGCGGUAAUACAAGA
rnacentral:rRNA from 1 species